GAUGAACGCUGGCGGCGUGCCUAAUACAUGCAAGUCGAACGAACAGACGAGGAUCUUGCUCCGCUGACGAUAGCCGCGGGCGGGUGAAUAACACGUGUAUAACCUACCUAUAAGACUGGUAUAACUUCGGGAAACCGGAGCUAAUACCGGAGAAUAUCUUGAACCGCGGUGGUCAAUAGUGAAAGACGGUUUUGCUGGCACUUAUAGAUGGAUCCGCGCCGUAUUAGCUAGUUGGUAAGGUAACGGCUUACCAAGGCUACGAUGCGUAACCGACCUGAUAGGGUGAUAGGCCACACUGGAACUUGGACACGGUCCAUACUCCUACGAGACGGCGCAGUCGGGAAUCUUACGCAGUGGGCGAGAGUCUGACGGAGCGAGGCCGCGUGAGUUACGAAGGGCCUGGGAUCGUAAAGCUGUGUUAUUAGGGAAGAACCAAUUUGUACGUAAAUAUGCACGGCUUGACGGUACCUAGUCAAAAAGCAACGGCUAACUACGUG
rnacentral:rRNA from 1 species